GAUGAACGCUGGCGGCGUGCCUAAUACAUGCAAGUCGAGCGAACAGACGAGGAGCUUGCUCCUCUGACGUUAGCGGCGGACGGGUGAGUAACACGUGGAUAACCUACCUAUAAGACUGGGAUAACUUCGGGAAACCGGAGCUAAUACCGGAUAAUAUAUUGAACCGCAUGGUUCAAUAGUGAAAGACGGUUUUGCUGUCACUUAUAGAUGGAUCCGCGCCGCAUUAGCUAGUUGGUAAGGUAACGGCUUACCAAGGCAACGAUGCGUAGCCGACCUGAGAGGGUGGUCGGCCACACUGGAAGUGAGACACGGUCCAGACUCCUGCGGGAGGCAGCAGUAGGGAAUCUUCCGCAAUGGGCGAAAGCUUGACGGAGCAACGCCGCGUGAGUGAUGAAGGUCUUCGGAUCGUAAAACUCUGUUAUUAGGGAAGAACAAAUGUGUAAGUAACUAUGCACGUCUUGACGGUACCUAAUCAGAAAGCCACGGCUAACUACGUG
rnacentral:rRNA from 1 species